rnacentral:rRNA from 1 species
UACGUAGGGUGCGAGCGUUAAUCGGAAUUACUGGGCGUAAAGCGUGCGCAGGCGGCGCGUUAAGACAGGUGUGAAAGCCCCGAGCUUAACUUGGGAAUUGCGCUCGAAACUACGUGGCUGGAGUGUGGCAGAGGAAGGUGGAAUUCCACGUGUAGCGGUGAAAUGCGUAGAGAUGUGGAGGAACACCAAUGGCGAAGGCAGCCUUCUGGGCCAACACUGACGCUCAUGCACGAAAGCGUGGGGAGCAAACAGG